rnacentral:rRNA from 1 species
UACGUAGGGGGCAAGCGUUGUCCGGAUUUAUUGGGCGUAAGGAGCGUGUAGGCGGUUAGGUAGGUCCGUUGUGAAAACUCGAGGCUCAACCUCGAGACGCCGAUGGAAACCAUCUGACUAGAGUCCGGAAGAGGAGAGUGGAAUUCCUGGUGUAGCGGUGAAAUGACGCAGAUAUCAGGAAGAACACCCGUGGCUAAGGCGGCUCUCUAGUACGGUACUGACGCUGAGACGCGAAAGCGUGGGGAGCGAACAGG